rnacentral:rRNA from 1 species
GUCCACGCCCUAAACGAUGGGUACUAAGUGUCGGCGGGUUACCGCCGGUGCCGCACCUAACGGAGUAAGUACCCCGCCUGGGGAGUACGGCCGCAAGGUUGAAACUCAAAGGAAUUGACGGGGGCCCGCACAAGCGGUGGUGCAUGUGGUUCAAUUCGACGCAACGCGAAAACCUUACCCAGGCUUGACAUGUUCGUGGUAAGAACCGGAAACGGGGAUGACCCUGAAAGGGGAUCGAGCACAGGUGCUGCAUGGCUGUCGU